rnacentral:rRNA from 1 species
AGUCACUGACAUUAGAUACCCCGGUAGUCCAGGGUGUAAACGCUGCAGACUUGGUGUUGGAAGCCCUUUGGGGCAUUCAGUGCCGGAGAGAAGUUGUUAAGUCUGCUACUUGGGAGUACGUCCGCAAGGAUGAAACUUAAAGGAAUUGGCGGGGGAGCACCGCAACGGGAGGAGCGUGCGGUUUAAUUGGAUUCAACACCGUAAACUCACCAGGGAAGACUGUUACAUGAAGGCCGAGAUGAAGACUCUGCUAGAUUUUCAG